UACGAAGGGUGCUAGCGUUGUUCGGAAUCACUGGGCGUAAAGCGCGCGUAGGCGGCUCUCAAAGUCAGGGGUGAAAUCCUUGGGCUCAACCCAAGAAUUGCCUUUGAAACUUGAGGGCUAGAGUGUCGGAGGGGAUAGCGGAAUUCCUAAUGUAGAGGUGAAAUUCGUAGAUAUUAGGAGGAACACCGGUGGCGAAGGCGGCUAUCUGGACGACAACUGACGCUGAGGCGCGAAAGCGUGGGGAUCAAACAGG
rnacentral:rRNA from 1 species